CCCAAGAACCCAAAGAGCAGAACAAAGCCCACAAAAGCACAGCAGCUUAAUACAAAACAACCGUGGCCAAAGCAAAGCCACCCAAACACAAAGAAAAUACAGCACAGGUCUGCCAUACAACACCCUCUCACUUAACCUCAUACCUGUGAAGCUAACAGACAAAGCAAACAAAACAGCCCAACCCGGUGAGGAGAAGGUAAGAUCCACAGAAUCGAUCAAGGAGGAGCCUCCUUGCCCAGUAGGGGCAACAGAAGUCUCUAAGGCAACAAAGAUGGCAAUUACCCCACAACAAACACAACCAAAAAAAAAAGGAGAAUUCUCUCUGUAGAAGGUUAGAAAGAGAGAAGCUCACACUUUUUUUACACAAGUUGAAACUCAAAACGUAGAUUUUAAGGGCAACGAUCUCAUUGAAGGAUAAAAUAUUAGCUGGGGGUCUCAUAUACAAGAUCUUGUUCAAGGUUCUUGGGUCAUCCACUGCCUUUAUAGUGAUGACAACCUUGUCUCUAGGAGGAACUUGAGCAUUUGGCUGUCCCAAAGUAGGCAAGAAGUAUCCAGCGAAGCCAUUGGACACAAUGUAAGUGUAGGGGAUCUCCUCAGCCUCAGUGGCUCUCCG